rnacentral:rRNA from 1 species
AUGCACUGUCAUGGGUGCC